AUGUUCCUUCCAGUUCUGCUGCUGCUGGCAGCUUCAUCCUAUGUGGAAUGUGCAGUAGAGCUCACUCAGGACACCUCAGUGAUGUUAAAGCCUGGAGAUUCUUUAAUCCUCAGCUGUAAAGUAUCCGGUUACUCAGUUACUGAUAACAGCUACGCCACAGCUUGGAUUCGACAACCUGCAGGGAAAACUCUGGAAUGGAUAAACCACAUUUGGGGAGGUGGAAGCACGUAUCAUAAAGAGUCUCUAAAAAGCAAGUUCAGUAUUUCUAAAGAUGCCUCCAGCAGCACGGUGACACUGAGAGGACAGAACAUGCAGACUGAAGACACAGCUGUGUAUUACUGCUUUACAGUGAGCUCUGUAAGAGAUAACACUCCCAUACACUUUAAAUCUGUGGUGAAGAGACCUGGAGAGUCAGUCACUCUGUCCUGUACUGUCUCCGGAUUCUCAAUGGGCAGCUACUACAUGCACUGGAUCCGUCAGAAACCAGGACAAGGACUGGAGUGGAUCGGGCGCAUUGAUGGUGGCACUGGCACAAUAUUCGCUCAGUCUCUACAGGGCCAGUUCUCCAUCAAUAAAGACACCAAUAAAAACUUGCUGUACCUAGAAGUGAAGAGUCUGAAAGCUGAAGACACGGCAGUUUAUUACUGUGCACGAGAGUCACACUGA